UGUUGUCUCUCUGCCCACUGCCUGAAGAUCAGGAUGAAAGUGCUCAGUGCUUCCCAGCACCACCCUUGCCUGCCUGCUAUCCUGCUCCAUGCCGCGAUGGGUAGGAUGAAGCCCGGAAACUCUAAGCAAGCCUCCAUUUAAAGGCUGUCCUUUAACCCAGUCAGUGCCAGGAACAGCAUGCCAGCAGCUCUGACGAGGCAUCUGAAACAGAGGAGGAGGAAGAGGAGCCCAGCGUCGUCAUCAUGGGGCGAUGAGGAGUUUCAGCANUCGUGAGCCCAGCUCAUUCUGUGACCAGCCUCAGAAGAGAAAUGGCUGUGUGUGACCAGCUGCCCGACUGGCUGUGUUGGGAGAAGGCAGGCACCUCCUGCAGCCCUGCCUGCCUGGGGAGUAGAGGGAGCAGACCCUAGACAUUUGCAGAUUGCAUUCUGUAUCCUGCCCUGCUCUUGCUGAAGGGGAGUGAGUGCUUCACCUUCCCUGGGUGCCCUUCCCUUNNGCUUGAACAGCAGUGAGCUCUGCGCUGGUUUCUGUGAAGGGAAUAUUUAUUUAGUAAAGAACAGAAAAGCUAUA